rnacentral:rRNA from 1 species
AUUGAACGCUGGCGGAAUGCUUUACACAUGCAAGUCGAACGGCAGCACGGGGGCAACCCUGGUGGCGAGUGGCGAACGGGUGAGUAAUACAUCGGAACGUGCCCAGUCGUGGGGGAUAACGUAGCGAAAGUUACGCUAAUACCGCAUACGAUCUACGGAUGAAAGCGGGGGACCGUAAGGCCUCGCGCGAUUGGAGCGGCCGAUGUCAGAUUAGGUAGGUGGUAAGGUAAAGGCUCACCAAGCCGACGAUCUGUAGCUGGUCUGAGAGGACGACCAGCCACACUGGGACUGUGACACGGCCCAGACUCCUACGGGAGGCAGCAGUGGGGAAUUUUGGACAAUGGGCGAAAGCCUGAUCCAGCCAUUCCGCGUGCAGGAUGAAGGCCCUCGGGUUGUAAACUGCUUUUGUACAGAACGAAAAGGUUUCUACUAAUACUAGGAGCUCAUGACGGUACUGUAAGAAUAAGCACCGGCUAACUACGUGCCAGCCGCCGCCGUAA